CAGCCAGUCCGUGGUUGGAGCCGUGCACUUGGGCCAAUAGUAACCGUACGACAUCGUCGAGUACACCGUGCGCUCCUCAAGAGACCUCAGUCUCGUCGUGGUGCUCCAUCUUCUCGCAACGUCACGUCUAAAGGUCGACGCAAAUCGAGCGGGCGAUCUGCGCGGGUCGAUUGUCAAAUUGCAUAAGGUUUACGGUCGCUCCGAUUGCGCGCGUCCCCCGUAAGAGACGGGACGACUCUCAUCGCGACUGUAAGAACGCGUCGAGGUUCUCUCUGGUGAACGCGUUCAAAGGCUGCGCGAAAGCUGCAACUCUUCUUUGGCACUCGGAUCCCGCAGCGGAACUCGCGUAGGAAGAGCAGCAGCAGCAACGUCUCUCUCAGCUCCAAGCGCCUUCGAGGCGAUUCCUCGCCGAGAGGCCAACUAUCUGGACGGAAAUCGUCAUCCUCGACUAGCACGACGAUCAAGUAGAUCGUAUCGGGUGAGGAACGACUUCGCGAACGAGACAGGACGACGGAAGUCACGCCAUGCCGGCAGGUAUUGGCGCUUCGUACAGGUCGUUAGGCGACCUGGGCGAAGACGUUUACAAAAGCACGACCAUCGUCGACCAGACACAGACUACCGGCCAGAGCGUCCUCGAAUCUGUCAAGAAGGCUUUUAGUUUCGCCUCGCCAAAGGUUGAGAUCCGGAAGAAAGACCCGCUGAUUGAGGACCGUCCCGAAAGCAUCACGAUUGUCCCAAGGGAGAAAAACAGGAUGCCGACAGCAGCCACUGCCGAGGAAUCUGCUCUUUUGGGCACGAUGCCUUCCGAUAGCAUGGAUGACAUUGAGCUGAAGAACAUUCAGUUGCAAUUUCCGCCAUUGAGAUACCUCUCUAGAGAUGAUGGCUCUGUACGAGAAGAAAGGGUGGAGACCGAUAAGGGAAGUUUGUUGGUGGCAGUGCAAGGAAAUCGAGCGAAACCAGCUAUCCUCACUUAUCACGAUCUAGGCCUUAACUACAUUUCGAGCUUCCAGGCAUUCUUCAAUUACAUCGACAUGCGUGUUUUACUCGAAAACUUUUGCGUGUAUCACGUAAACGCACCCGGACAAGAGGAAGGCGCGCCGACACUCCCCGAAGAUUACACUUAUCCGUCCAUGGAAGAACUGGCUGAACAGCUGCUCUUCAUUUUCGGCCAUUUUGGCAUAAAAUCCGUAAUUGGUUUCGGGGUCGGUGCCGGCGCCAAUAUUCUGGCAAGAUUUGCACUCGCCCAUCCGGAGAAAGUAAAUGCACUGUGCCUGAUAAACUGUGUAUCCACGCAGGCAGGAUGGAUCGAAUGGGGUUAUCAAAAAUUGAACGUACGCCAUCUGAGAUCGCAAGGCAUGACGCAAGGGGUUCUCGAUUAUCUGAUGUGGCAUCAUUUCGGCAGGGGGACCGAGGAGCGGAAUCAUGAUUUGGUUCAAGUAUACAAGAGCUACUUUGAGCGUCGCGUGAAUCCAACGAAUCUCGCAUUAUUUAUCGACAGUUAUGUUCGUCGUACGGAUCUGAAUAUAACGAGGGAAUUAGAUCCAACGCGCAAGAAGGAAGGAUUGACGCUUAGUGUACCGGUGAUGAACAUCACGGGUGCUCUAAGCCCUCACGUCGACGACACCGUAACGUUAAAUGGACGUUUGGAUCCAACAAACAGCUCCUGGAUGAAGAUAUCGGAUUGCGGUAUGGUACUGGAAGAACAGCCGGGUAAAGUCAGCGAGGCAUUCCGACUGUUUCUUCAGGGCGAAGGAUAUGUGGUGAGAUCCCCGCGGAAGCCCGUGAAGCCGACAACACCCGAAGGUAAUUGUAAUUAGGAAUUGAAGGCCGCAAGGAGAGUCGAGCGCGCAGUUGGUCAAUUAGGCCACGUCUAUAUGUUAAUGGCCCCUCUGUCGCCGUUAAAAAUGGCCGACUACCGACUGGCUUCGUUAGAGGGAUUGAAUCACGUUUGCAGCAAGAAGAUCGACUGGCCUACUGCGACUAUACACAUCACGGAGAAUCCAAUAUCGGAGGCAGUCGUCUGUUAAAUGUUAAUCGGCGAAUUUCAUCAUCAUCAUGAUUUUCCUUACGCAGAUGAAUAUAAUUGGAAGAUGAUGCAACUCGAUUGAUAUCAACAAUUUAGAAAGGUUUCGUCAACGAUCAGAGCAACGAUCCUUCGCGGCACUAAUCGCUGUUUUCCUUUUUUCGGAGCUUACGUCGGCACGAUUUUAUUAUUUUAAUCGCGAUUUGCUUUAGAUCGACGAGAUACGCGUUUCAUAAUAAAUGUUUAAUUCUGACUAAUUAUAAGUUAAGAGCUUUAACGAAGGGAUUUACUAUAGUUAAGAGACAUUCAGAUGUUUUGUCAAUAUUAUACUUAUGCAAUGUUGUUAGCAGUAUCGAUUUAUUAAGGAUAAAUAAGAAAACAAUAGUAUUAUUGUACGAUUAGGUGCGAUACGUUGAAUUUUAUUUUUAAGAAAUUUAAUAAGAGAACGGUGCGGAGAAGCAACUUUGACAUCGUUUAUUUUUUAUCAUCAAAAAUUAUAUUUCGCAAUUGUUUUAACGGAUUCACAAUUAAUUGUUUGUUUAAACAUUUACUUAAAUGACGAGAAGAUAUUUUUAAAAAUCUCCUUUUUCUCUAUAAAUGUGUUAAUAUUUGCGCAAAUUUUAAAAAUUGUUUAACAUUUCGAGAUAUAUUUCUAUAUACAUGAGUAUACGUUAACACAAACGGAGUCGUUACAAGUUUCCAUAAACGUAAACUAAAUACGUAACUGAAUACAAUGACAAAAGGAUUAUUAGAAGCAUAAGAAGAUGAGAUUUUUCUUAACGUAAGAUGCGAAAAGAAUUCCCAUGUAAAUAUUAAUUUUGAAGAAAACGAUUCAUUACGGAAAUUCUGAGUAAAUAUCGAAAACGUAUUAAAUAAAGUUACAAGAUAUCGAAUAUGUAUGACAGCAAGACAUAAAGAAAUGCGCGUUUUUCGUGUUUAUUACAAGAGAAAAUCGUAUGAAGCGCAAAUGAAGAGCAACUUUUAACGAGUUAAGAUAGCUUGUUAAUGAAACAACGUCGAAAUAAAUUCCGUCUAUACCUGCCGCGCAGUUUAUAAUUUAAGGAAUACUCGCAAUAUAUUGCGGAUUAAAUAAAUAAAAAUACAAAUACUCUCAAUAAAAACACAAAUACUCCAUCAAAAGCUAAAGCGAAAAAUAGUCUUAUUUGCUGAUAAUAUGUAAAAGUAACAUAAAACUAAGUUUUUCUUACAUUUUGAGAAAACUACCUAAGCAGCUUAUAUACGCUUUUACGCAACACGAUGAUAAAGAAUCAACCAAUCCUGAGCAUUUAUAAUUGCGAUAUUUUUUUUCACUAUUUUAUACAGAUAAGUUAAAUUAUGAUUAUUUGAGACUUUGAAAUAAGAAAGAUCAAAUGGAUAAUAAAAUGUGCGUUCAGAAUCGA